CAGCACCUCAAGUGGUCAGGAUGAUUAUUGGGCCUAAAGCAUCCGUAGCCGGCGCUGUAAGUUUUCGGUUAAAUCUGUACGCUCAACGUACAGGCUGCCGGGAAUACUGCAGCGCUAGGGAGUGGGAGAGGUAGACGGUACUCGGUAGGAAGGGGUAAAAUCCUUUGAUCUAUUGAUGACCACCUGUGGCGAAGGCGGUCUACCAGAACACGUCCGACGGUGAGGGAUGAAAGCUGGGGGAGAAAACCGGAUUAGAUACCCGAGUAGUCC
rnacentral:rRNA from 1 species